GACGGAGGAGGCAAGCGUUAUCCGGAAUUAUUGGGCGUAAAGGGUACUUAGGCGGCUGGUCAAGUCUGGGGUCAAAGGCCACAGCUCAACUGUGGGAAGGCCCUGGAAACUGACCGGCUAGAGUGAGGUAGGGGUUGUGGGAAUUCCCGGUGUAGCGGUGAAAUGCGUAGAGAUCGGGAAGAACACCUGAGGCGGAAGCGCGCAACUGGGCCUCAAAUGACGCUGAGGUACGAAAGCUAGGGGAGCGAAUGGG
rnacentral:rRNA from 1 species